CCCCCCACUACUGACCACCUGUCAGUCUUCACCCAUGGUCGGAGUCCACUGCCUGGUCUCCAUGGCAUUGGUUUCCAAUGUCGCGGCUCCGGGACGCCACCACCUGUCAUGACCUAAGGGAAAACGAUGACCUAUUUCAGCAGCUGACCUCAAACAAAGUGGUGCCGAGAGUGUUGGGACUCGAUUUGAGAGCCUUAUUUGUUGGCAGUGUCGUGCAAAGUGGCCGACCUGACCUGACUGACGAGAUUAAAACCAAAUACAGGAAAUCACA